CCUACGGGGGGCUGCAGUGAGGAAUAUUGGUCAAUGGCCGGAAGGCUGAACCAGCCAAGCCGCGUGAAGGACGAAAGUGCCAAGCAUUGUAAACUUCUUUUGUCAAGGGACAAAAUCAGGCUCGAGAGCCUGACCGAGGGUACUUGAAGAAAAAGCAUCGGCUAACUCCGUGACAGCAGCCGCGGUAAUACGGAGGCUGCGAGCGUUAUCCGGAUUUAGUGGGUUUAAAGGGUGCGUAGGCGGACUGUUCAGUCAGCGGUAAAAGCCCGGGGCUCACCCCCGGCGAGCCGUGGAAACUGGCUGUCUUGAGAUGUCGAGAGGGAUGCGGAAUGCGCGGUGUAGCGGUGAAAUGCUUAGAUAUUGCGCAGAACACCGAUGGCGAAGGCAGCAUACCGGCGGCGAUCUGACGCUGAGGCACGAAAGCGUGGGUAUCGAACAGGAUUAGAUACCCUUGUAGUC
rnacentral:rRNA from 1 species